CCUACGGGCGGCAGCAGUGGGGGAUAUUGCACAAUGGGGGGAGCCCUGAUGCGGCGACGCCGCGUGGGUGAAGAAGCGCCUCGGCGCGUAAAGCCCUGUCAGCAGGGAAGAAAAUGACGGUACCUGAAGAAGAAGCCCCGGCUAACUACGUGCCAGCAGCCGCGGUAAUACGUAGGGGGCAAGCGUUAUCCGGAUGUACUGGGUGGAAAGGGGGCGCAGACGGCGGUGCCAGCCAGGAGGGAAAGCCCGGGGCCCAACCCCGGGAAUGCUCUUGGAACUGCGUGGCUGGAGUGAAGGAGGGGCAGGCGGAAUUCCGUGUGUAGCGGUGAAAUGCGUAGAUAUAAGGAGGAACACCGGUGGCGAAGGCGGCCUGCUGGACUGCAACUGACGUUGAGGCCCGAAAGCGUGGGGAGCAAACAGGAUUAGAUACCCGAGUAGUC
rnacentral:rRNA from 1 species